AUGAAAUCACCUGAAUCAUCGCUAAUCACAGCCUGGGCUGAUGACAUUUCCGGGCGGCCUUGCAGAGCUCUUUUGUCAUUACAGGGCAACCUGCAGAGCCGUCUUGCACUGGAGAAGGAAACCCGGAGGGUCGCCUUAAGGGCGGGUUCCCGACUGCGUUCAAACGUUCACCAGUCCCACGGGGGAGCUAGCAGAGAGGAGAGGUCUCCCCGUGGUGGCCGGGCGCCAGAUGUUUCCACAGGCCUGUGUCGCUCCGCGAGCAGCUCAUUCGCCGCAAGGGGCAUCGGUGCACGAGCGUAUCGAACCACCUCAGAGUCAGGACUUGUCCAGCUUAUGAAAUCCCCAUGGAGGCUCCACAUACCUCUGAGAUCUGAUUAGCCCAAACCUCUCCGUGACUUCUUCAGAUGUUAAACAGCAGAUGUGGGAUAUCUAUCAAGCCAAGGCCAAACACACACACUGAUGCUACGUAGGCGAGCAGGAGGGUGCUGAGAAAGAUGCUUCAGUUCGGACACCAUGGUUAAGGUGAGGCCAUGCAAAACUGUAUCAAGGGAAGCAUCCUUAAAUACAGCUCUCUCCAAAUGCUGCUCUUCAUACCUCCCGGGCGAUGCCCACAACCCCCUGGUCUCCAGCAAGCACUUGAGUGCCAAGGCGAGCUAACGCAGACCCCAGCAUCCUCACCGCUGCCUCUCCAGGGAGGUGGUGGCCAUGGGAAGGUUUUGGUCCUGCCGGGCUGGUCAGCAGGGCUAGGUGGAGAAAUGCUUUCUCGUUGGAUCCCUGCCAGCCCUAUCUGUGGGCAUGCAUGAGGGCACAGCGCGGGGUGACAGGGAGGUGGUCGGGAGCCGAGCACCACGGGAGCCCCACCACGUCCCCUGGGCUGAGCCUUGGAGUAGCUUCAGGUGGUCCGAGCGCUUGGUCAUGACAACCCUAAACACUGCAGAUGAAAGGACUGUGAAAGGAGCCUUGUAUGUACAAGGAAACCUGUUCUGAAAAGCAGACAAAGGAUUUAUUUUGUUUUUCUCAUACAGAAUAAAAAUCAAUCCGUGAGUAGUAAUGUUGAGAAA
rnacentral:lncRNA from 1 species